rnacentral:rRNA from 1 species
AGAGUUUGAUCCUGGCUCAGGAUGAACGCUAGCGGCAGGCUUAACACAUGCAAGUCGAGGGGUAUAGUAGCAAUACUAGAGACCGGCGCACGGGUGCGUAACGCGUAUGCAAUCUACCUUUUACAGAGGGAUAGCCCAGAGAAAUUUGGAUUAAUACCUCAUAGUAUAACGAGUUCGCAUGAAUUUGUUAUUAAAGUCACAACGGUAAAAGAUGAGCAUGCGUCCCAUUAGCUUGUUGGUAAGGUAACGGCUUACCAAGGCAACGAUGGGUAGGGGUCCUGAGAGGGAGAUCCCCCACACUGGUACUGAGACACGGACCAGACUCCUACGGGAGGCAGCAGUGAGGAAUAUUGGUCAAUGGGCGCAAGCCUGAACCAGCCAUGCCGCGUGCAGGAUGACGGUCCUAUGGAUUGUAAACUGCUUUUGCACAGGAAGAAACACUAUCUCGUGAGAUAGCUUGACGGUACUGUGAGAAUAAGGAUCGGCUAACUCCGUGCCAGCAGCCGCGGUAAUACGGAGGAUCCAAGCGUUAUCCGGAAUCAUUGGGUUUAAAGGGUCCGUAGGCGGUCUAAUAAGUCAGUGGUGAAAGCCCUACGCUCAACGUAGGAACGGCCAUUGAUACUGUUAGACUUGAAUUACUUGGAAGUAACUAGAAUAUGUAGUGUAGCGGUGAAAUGCUUAGAGAUUACAUGGAAUACCAAUUGCGAAGGCAGGUUACUACAAGUGGAUUGACGCUGAUGGACGAAAGCGUGGGUAGCGAACAGGAUUAGAUACCCUGGUAGUCCACGCCGUAAACGAUGGAUACUAGCUGUUCGGAGCAAUCUGAGUGGCUAAGCGAAAGUGAUAAGUAUCCCACCUGGGGAGUACGUUCGCAAGAAUGAAACUCAAAGGAAUUGACGG